rnacentral:rRNA from 1 species
CGAUUACGGCUCAGUAACACGUAGCUAACCUACCCUUAGGACGUGGAUACCCCCGAGAAAUUGGGGUUAAUCCGCGAUAGAUGUAAUGUCCUGGAAUGGUAUUACGUCUAAAGGUAUUUCAUACAUGUUUGAAAUAUGCCUAAGGAUGGGGCUGCGGCCGAUCAGGCUGUUGGUGAGGUAAUGGCUCACCAAACCUUUGACCGGUACGGGCCAUGAGAGUGGUAGCCCGGAGAUGGACACUGAGACAAGGGUCCAGGCCCUAAGGGGCGCAGCAACCGCGAAACCUCCACAAUGCACUCACGUGCGAUGGGGCUAUCUCGAGUGCCACCUGAUGAAGGUGGCUUUUCCUUGGUCUUCAAAGCCUUGGGAAUAAGAGGGGGGCAAGACUGGUGUCAGCCGCCGCGGUAACACCAGCCCCUCGAGUGGUGGGGAUGAUUAUUUGGCCUAAAGCGUCCGUAGCCGGCCGAGCAAGUCUUCCGUUAAAUCCAGCGUCUCAAGCGUUGGACCGCGGGAGAUACUACACGGCUAGAGAGUGGGAGAGGUCAGCGGUAUUCUGGGGGUAAGGGCGAAAUCCUUUGAUCCCCGGAGGACCACCAGUGGCGAAGGCUG